rnacentral:miRNA from 1 species
GUUCCCCAACCCAGUCCUCAGGGACCACCAACAAUCCAGGAUUAAUGUAUUUCCCUGUUUUAUUCGAAUAAAUAUACUGACAAAACCUGUACUGUUGGUGGUCCAUGAGGACUGGGUUGGGGAA